UCUAAAAUAUGCAAAAAAAAUUUUUGAUUUUUAAAUCCUUCUAUCAAAAAAAGUAUCUAUAUCCCGAACAAAUAUGCAAAUACAUAAAAUCCCGAUCCCUAGUUAUAGGUAAUGCAUAAAUCUGACAAAUAAUAUAAAACAUAUUCUAUACAUACACGUAUAAAAACUUUAAAUAAUACAACUAUGAUAUUAUACUUCUAUAAUAUUAUUAUUUUUAUUAUUAGUAUCUGGACCAAGUCGUCAUUGUCAUUCUUACGCAUUCCCAGAAUGAGUUUUAAGAUGUCACACACCUAGAAUGUACCAUAAAGCUCCUACAGAGAUGAUGUGUAUCGGUAAAGGACGAGUGACCAGCAAUUAUAUAAAAGUAUACUAUAAUUUUAAAUGCAUUGUCAUGCUACAAAUAUAUAAUAUAAUGAACAGAUGUGUAAUGUUGUGCGUCUAAGCCAUCAUAUUAAAUAAUUAAAAUUAAAUAUUUAUGUGCAAUAUAAUAAAAUAAUUUAAAAUAAUUAUGAUAACAUAAGUUAUAACUGUUAUAAGUCUUUAAUAUUAAAUAAGAUAAAAUUAUAAGAACAAUAGAUAGCACACGUAUAUAUGCACACAUAUACAGGAUAUUAGUUAUAAAAAGGCCGGUUACCGCCGGUCAUAACAUAGUGUCCUUACCAUCUUUCUGUAUAGUCGUAUAGACGAUCACAAGCGAGAGUAAAAGACUACGCGAUCGGAUAUACUAGAAGACAUAAGUGUUGAAGUUGUUAAUAGUUAAAAUUAAAUAAUUUAUGUAUUAAAAAAAUUGUAAUAAAGUUAAUAAGUUUACU